AAUUGAGAAACUCCGCUCCACAUGAACCACAAAUAAAAGGAAGAAAUUCAGGAGACGACCCACAGACCCUCUGAAGGAAGUGGACUGCUCCUGCAGGACCCGGGAGACACCACAAAUACAGUGAGUGCCCAACUGUGGAAGUGGGAAAGGGAGACCCUCCUCUCCUGAACACACGGCCCCACAGGGGAGGCUGAAGGUCUGUUUGCGGAUAAGUUUCCGACCUUACCUGGAGCUGAGCCAAUUUUGAGAGCUGAAAUGCAGGGGUAGAGGAAGCAGCAGAAACGCCCUGGGAGCUCGCUAUGUCCCCUUGCUAGGGACAUUCCUUCCUGGCACCACAGAGAUCCAUCAGGUGGGUGAUCAAAGGAGCGUGGAGUAUACUUCACAGGGAGAAGGAAAUCUCUAGCUGAACUUUGUAACACUUUGAACAGGGUGAGAAGUCUCCUGGCCAGAACUCGAGGGAGGGCUCAAAUCUGGUGUGCAGACUCCACAGGCAGGGGAAGAACUAAGCCCUUUUCUCUGGCAGCUGGAGGUGGGUAACCCGCGGCAAGUUUUCAAGCCCAUCACACCCUCGACCUGGAAACAGACUCGGAGCUAUUGGUGGGGGCAUGGUGGGAGUGAGACCGGCCCUUCGUUUUGUAUGGGAGCUGGGUGAAGCCUGUGACUUCUGGCUUUCCCCUACUUUCCUGAUAACCGGCAUGACUCAGCAAAGGCAGCCAUAAUCCUCCUAGGCACACAACUCCAGUGACCUGGGAAUCUCACCCCAUCCCCCACAGCAGCUGCAGCAAGACCCCCCUAAGGAGAGUCUGAGCUCAGACAUGCCUAGCUCUGCCCUUGCCAAAUGGUCCUUCCUUAUCCACCCUGGUAGCGGA
rnacentral:lncRNA from 10 species